ACUCCUACGGGAGGCAGCAGUGGGGAAUAUUGCACAAUGGGCGCAAGCCUGAUGCAGCCAUGCCGCGUGUGUGAAGAAGGCCUUCGGGUUGUAAAGCACUUUCAGUUGUGAGGAAGGUGGUGUCGUUAAUAGCGGCAUCAUUUGACGUUAGCAACAGAAGAAGCACCGGCUAACUCCGUGCCAGCAGCCGCGGUAAUACGGAGGGUGCGAGCGUUAAUCGGAAUUACUGGGCGUAAAGCGCAUGCAGGUGGUUUGUUAAGUCAGAUGUGAAAGCCCGGGGCUCAACCUCGGAACUGCAUUUGAAACUGGCAGACUAGAGUACUGUAGAGGGGGGUAGAAUUUCAGGUGUAGCGGUGAAAUGCGUAGAGAUCUGAAGGAAUACCGGUGGCGAAGGCGGCCCCCUGGACAGAUACUGACACUCAGAUGCGAAAGCGUGGGGAGCAAACAGGAUUAGAUACCCUGGUAGCACAG
rnacentral:rRNA from 1 species